AGAGCGAACGUUGGCGAUGCGUCUUAAGCAUGCAAGUCGAGCGGGCUUAUUCGGGCAACUGGAUAAGUUAGCGGCGAACUGGUGAGUAACACGUAGGUAAUCUGCCGUGAAGCGGGGGAUAACCCAUGGAAACAUGGACUAAUACCGCAUAUACUCUUGCUACAUAAGUAGAGUAGAGGAAAGUUUUUCGCUUCACGAUGAGCCUGCGGCCUAUUAGCCUGUUGGUAGGGUAAUGGCCUACCAAAGCUACGAUAGGUAGCCGACCUGAGAGGGUGACCGGCCACAUUGGGACUGAGAUACGGCCC
rnacentral:rRNA from 1 species